rfam:Heterocephalus glaber contig272223, whole genome shotgun sequence.
AGGGAUGUAGCUCAGUGGUAGAGCACUUGCCUGGUAUGCAUGAGGCCCUAGGUUCAAUCUCCAGUACCACAA